rnacentral:rRNA from 1 species
UGGCGGACGGGUGCGUAAUGUCUGGGAAACUGCCUGAUGGAGGGGGAUAACUACUGGAAACGGUAGCUAAUACCGCAUAACGUCGCAAGACCAAAGAGGGGGACCUUAGGGCCUCUUGCCAUCGGAUGUGCCCAGAUGGGAUUAGCUAGUAGGUGGGGUAACGGCUCACCUAGGCGACGAUCCCUAGCUGGUCUGAGAGGAUGACCAGCCACACUGGAACUGAGACACGGUCCAG